GUCGAACGACGUAGUGGCAGACGGGUGAGUAACGCGUGGGAACGUACCUUUCGCUACGGAAUAGCUCUGGGAAACUGGUGGUAAUACCGUAUACGCCCUUCGGGGGAAAGAUUUAUCGGCGAAAGAUCGGCCCGCGUUAGAUUAGGUAGUUGGUGGGGUAAUGGCCUACCAAGCCUACGAUCUAUAGCUGGUCUGAGAGGAUGAUCAGCCACACUGGGACUGAGACACGGCCCAGACUCCUACGGGAGGCAGCAGUGGGGAAUCUUGCACAAUGGGCGAAAGCCUGAUGCAGCCAUGCCGCGUGAAUGAUGAAGGCCUUAGGGUUGUAAAAUUCUUUCGCCAGGGAUGAUAAUGACAGUACCUGGUAAAGAAGCCCCGGCUAACUUCGUGCCAGCAGCCGCGGUAAUACGAAGGGGGCUAGCGUUGUUCGGAAUUACUGGGCGUAAAGCGCACGUAGGCGGACUUUUAAGUCAGGUGUGAAAUCCCGGGGCUCAACCUCGGAACUGCAUUUGAAACUGGAAGUCUGGAGUUCAGGAGAGGUUAGCGGAAUACCGAGUGUAGAGGUGAAAUUCGUAGAUAUUCGGUGGAACACCAGUGGCGAAGGCGGCUAACUGGACUG
rnacentral:rRNA from 1 species